rnacentral:tRNA from 1 species
ACCUGGGUGGCUCAGUCAGUUGAGCAUCUGACUUUGCCUCAGGUCAUGAUCUCACAGUUUGUGGGUUCGAGCCCCACAUCAGGCU